rnacentral:lncRNA from 1 species
CCAGAUCACUUUUAAGGGUCUCUUCCAAUUCAAAUAAUGGUAUGAUUCUCAGUUUCUAUAAAUUGUGCAAAAUAUCUUAUUAUCGUUUCCUGUUCCUUCUUCCUAUUAUAUCCUGACCUACCUUUUGGUCUUUCAGAAAUGAUAUCUGAGCCCAGCUUCAAUCCAGAUUUCUGUAUUUUAGUAAUGCAUCAGGAGAGCAGAAUCUUUGUCUCCAGAACUGAGCAGGAUAGUCAAGCAUCCUUGGAAUUCUUCAUUCGCUGUCACAAGGACCCUUCUGCUGAUUCAGACGUAAGGAAGACAUGCCAGGCUCCCUCUGAAACCCUGCAAAGCCCAGGAAGCUCUUUCUGCUGUAAGUCUGUGCAGGUUUUGCGUCUGACCCUGGCUGACUCCAUCCCUUCCAUGCCACUCACAAUACCUGGGUUCACUGUAGGUGUUUUCCACCGCUAA